rnacentral:SRP_RNA from 1 species
CCGUACUAGACGGGGAGCCAGCGGUGCCCUCUAUCCGCAAUCCGCUAUAGCGGAGUUGAAUUCCUCCCCUCGGCUAGGCUAGAGGUCCUAUAUUGUGGGUGGUGAUAUAGAGGGUUGGGUCCCGCGCGACGUAGACUUGUGAACCCCGCCAGAUCCGGAAGGAAGCAACGGUAAACAGGAUCCUGCGGGCGCCGAGGGAGUGCCUGGCCUGAGUCAUCAUUCAUAACAUGCCCGAUGGUCUUGACAACGGGAGGUGUACG